AUUGAACGCUGGCGGCAUGCCUUACACAUGCAAGUCGAACGGUAACGGGCCUUCGGGUGCCGACGAGUGGCGAACGGGGGAGUAAUACAUCGGAACGUGCCCGAUCGUGGGGGAUAACGAGGCGAAAGGUGUGCUAAUACCGCAUACGAGCUACGGAUGUAAGCAGGGGACCGCAAGGCCUUGCGCGGGCGGAGCGGCCGAUGGCAGAUUAGCUAGUUGGUGGGAUAAAAGCUUACCAAGCCGACGAUUUGUAGCUGGUCUGAGAGGAUGAUCAGCCACACUGGAACUGAGACACGGCCCAGACUCCUACGGGAGGCAGCAGUGGGGAAUUUUGGACAAUGGGCGCAAGCCUGAUCCAGCCAUGCCGCGUGCAGGAUGAAGGCCUUCGGGUUGUAAACUGCUUUUGUACGGAAAGAACAGCCUUCUUUUAAUACAGGAGGGUCAUGACGGUACCGUAAGAAUAAGCACCGGCUAACUACGUG
rnacentral:rRNA from 1 species